UCGGACGUCGGCCCCAAACGGCUGCCGGGUUAUAAACAAUUCUAACGAACAAGUACGGGAAUACGUAAUUUUACAGGUUGCUGUCAGAACCGUCGCUGGCUCCUGGAGGUCUUCCGUAGCCAAAUACAACGACGACACGGGGCUCGGCGAUACGGCCUGGCAGUUCGGAGGUCUCUGGAUUUUAUGCAUUUAUGAGAAAACUUAGUGAAUGGACUACACGAUAAAGAAAACACCGAGACACCAUGAGGGGACCCAAAGAAAUGUUGUACUUCCCCAUCGUUCCGCAUCGUUGGAACCACGUAAGACACCAAACCGACUCAGUUAUUAUCGUCCAUGCGGUAUUACUGUGUCAAUAACGUUGGUAGCCACCGCGGACGCACAAAAUCUCCGGCAAAAACUCCUUCCCGACGACGAAUUACACCGAAGUCUCUGUGCGGUAAAAAAUAUGUAAUGCCGGCGAUUCUAUGCGGCCCGUAACGACGCUCCCCAACGCAUCAACGUCGCUGGGCUUAUUGCGCCAAAGACUGCGGGGAAAGCGGCGCGAAAUGCAGGUCCAAGGACCGGUCGAACCGCAAGCCUGUGUCCGCAGGGACGACGGUUUGAAUUGAAGAAUUUUUGCGGACGAUAACUCGUUGGCUCACGCGCUAACGUAUUUGCAAGAUCCGCCGCGCUGAUGGACAUAUAAUGCGACGUGUGAUUGUAGGCCCGCCAAUCGCGGCCGAUUGUGCCUCUGAAGGCCCGCUAACUAUCUCAAACUAGCCCCAUUCAAGCCGCCACGACCUCUCUCUAUCCGUCUCUAUCCGCCGCCAUCUGUCUCUAUGCCUGCCUCGUUCCAACCCUCCGCGCCCCAUUCACCGACCGCCCCAUCUACGUCUCUCUUUCUCUCCCCCUCUCUCUGUUUUCUCUCUCGCUCGACCGACGUACCUUCUUCUCGCUCGCACCCUGUCCGCUCGUCCCAACCGCUCCGACUUCACCAGCGAUUUUUCCCACCCCGUCAGCCUAGCAAACCCUGUCCGUCUCUCCUCACCUCAUCGUUCGCCGACUGUAUUUCUUGCAGCACGUUUCUUCCCGCAUCCUGCUCUAAUUUUCGGGCCGGCUCUCUCGCCGCGCACGUAAUCCCCCGUUUUACUCGGCCUCAUCCCCGGCCGGCGUGCUUUCUUCCCCGCGGUGUCUGUCCUCCUUCUAUUUUCUCCUCGCGAAUCGUCUACGGGAAUGUUUUGCUCACCAUUUAACCGGCCUUUAUCGCGCCCGAUCUAUUCACGGGCCGCGCGCUCCGUGCCGGUGCUUCGCGAUUUCUUUCUCUGAACGGCCCGCUUUCAGGCAACCGUCUGCGCGUCUUGCUGACUUUUGUGAGCCGCUCUCGACCCCUGGAUCAACGCGUCCGGCUUUACUCUCACGCUUCUGCAGCGCGUGUUGCGCGGAUCUAGGGUAAAGGUAGCUAAUGCAGAUUGUGGGCUGAUAGAGAGUGCUGUUGGGGAAAUCUUGUUUAACCCUUUCCGGUUGCAUCUGGCUCCCCUGGCUUCGGAUUUCGUAUUGACUCGGGGAUCUUAACGUGCUCGGCGAACUAUGAGAUGUUGUGUACUAUCAGAAGUUAGGUUAUGUGGAUUUUUUGAAUACGUUUGGACCGCGGGAUGACGCGAACGUGCCGUCGUGGGCUUAUCGAUUUCGUAACGUCGAGAAUGUUUAAUGUAUGGCGAGAGAAUUGACAUUGGUGGGGAAAUUGGAUCGUUAUGAAAUUUUGUAGAAUAAGUGAAAUUAUAAUUUGAGUUUGUAGGGACGUUGGAGGAAUUGACGAGUUAGGCUGUCUUGUUAAAAUAUUGUUAAAAUAUUGUUAAAAUAUUUGUAUAUUGUUAAAUAUUGUUAAAACGAGAAAGGGCACAUAAGUGAUUAAAGAACACCUAAGUGGUAAUUAUGUGCAUCAACUGCAACAAAUGAUUUUCUAAUAUUCUCAAUAAGUUGAAAGCAAUGCAACAA